UACGAAGGGGGGCUAGCGUUGUUCGGAAUCACUGGGCGUAAAGGGCGCGUAGGCGGCCGAUCAAGUCGGGGGGUGAAAGCCUGUGGCUCAACCACAGAAUUGCCUUCGAUACUGUUUGGCUUGAGACCGGGGAGAGGUUAGUGGAACUGCGAGUGUAGAGGUGAAAUUCGUAGAUAUUCGCAAGAACACCAGUGGCGAAGGCGGCUGGACUGGU
rnacentral:rRNA from 1 species